rnacentral:rRNA from 1 species
UGCCUAAAGCAUAACAUUAAUGCAUUGGAUCCCAUUAGAACUAUGCAGUUAAGCACGCUUUGGUUAGAGUAGUACUAGGAUGGUUGAUAGCCUGAGAAGUUCUAGUGUUUUACAUGC